rnacentral:rRNA from 1 species
UACGUAGGGUGCGAGCGUUGUCCGGAAUUAUUGGGCGUAAAGGGCUCGUAGGCGGUUUGUCACGUCGGGAGUGAAAACUCGGGGCUUAACUCCGAGCCUGCUUCCGAUACGGGCUGACUAGAGGUAUGCAGGGGGAGAACGGAAUUCCUGGUGUAGCGGUGAAAUUCGUAGAUAUCAGGAGGAACACCGGUGGCGAAGGCGGGUCUCUGGGCCGAUACUGACGCUGAGGAGCGAAAGCGUGGGGAGCGAACAGG